rnacentral:rRNA from 1 species
UUGAAUUGAAGAGUUUGAUCAUGGCUCAGAUUGAACGCUUGCGUCAGGCUUAACACCUGCAAGUCGCGCGUUAACGUUGAGUAUCUUGCUACUUUUCCGACGAGCGGCGGACGGGUGAUUAAUUCUUGUGGAUCUUUCUUAUUGAUGGGGAUAACCACGGGAAACUGUGGCUACUACCGCGUAUUAUCGCGAGAUGAACGCGUGGGACUUU